CGGGACGUGGCGCAGCUUGGUAGCGCACUUGACUGGGGGUCAAGGGGUCGUCGGUUCGAAUCCGGCCGUCCCGACCG
rnacentral:tRNA from 1 species